rnacentral:rRNA from 1 species
GACGAACGCUGGCGGCGUGCUUAACACAUGCAAGUCGAACGGAAAGGCCCUGCUUUUGUGGGGUGCUCGAGUGGCGAACGGGUGAGUAACACGUGAGUAACCUGCCCCUGUCUUUGGGAUAACUUCAGGAAACUGGGGCUAAUACCGGAUAGGAGCUCCUGCUGCAUGGUGGGGGUUGGAUAGUUUCGGCGGUUGGGGAUGGACUCGCGGCUUAUCAGCUUGUUGGUGGGGUAGUGGCUUACCAAGGCUUUGACGGGUAGCCGGCCUGAGAGGGUGACCGGCCACAUUGGGACUGAGAUACGGCCCAGACUCCUACGGGAGGCAGCAGUGGGGAGUAUUACACAGUGGGCGGAAGCCUGAUGCAGCAACGCCGCGUGCGGGAUGACGGGCUUCGGGUUGUAAACCGCUGUCGCCUGUGACGAGGCGUGAGUGACGGUAAUGGGUAAAGAAGCACCGGCUAACUACGUG